GUGUCAGCAGCCGCGGUAAUACGAAGGGGGCUAGCGUUGUUCGGAAUUACUGGGCGUAAAGGGCGCGCAGGCGGCUCUUCAAGUCAGAUGUGAAAGCCCCGGGCUCAACCUGGGAACUGCAUUUGAGACUGGAGAGCUUGAGUUCGGGAGAGGAGAGCGGAAUUCCCAGUGUAGAGGUGAAAUUCGUAGAUAUUGGGAAGAACACCGGUGGCGAAGGCGGCUCUCUGGACCGAUACUGACGCUGAGGCGCGAAAGCGUGGGGAGCAAACAGGAUUAGAAACCCUCGUAGUCC
rnacentral:rRNA from 1 species